rnacentral:rRNA from 1 species
UACGUAGGGUGCAAGCGUUAAUCGGAAUUACUGGGCGUAAAGCGUGCGCAGGCGGUUAUGUAAGACAGAGGUGAAAUCCCCGGGCUCAACCUGGGAACUGCCUUUGUGACUGCAUAGCUAGAGUACGGUAGAGGGGGAUGGAAUUCCGCGUGUAGCAGUGAAAUGCGUAGAUAUGCGGAGGAACACCGAUGGCGAAGGCAAUCCCCUGGACCUGGUACUGACGCUCAUGACACGAAAGCGUGGGGAGCAAACAGG